rnacentral:rRNA from 1 species
CAGGCUUAACACAUGCAAGUCGAGGGGCAGCAUGGUCUUAGCUUGCUAAGACUGAUGGCGACCGGCGCACGGGUGAGUAACACGUAUCCAACCUGCCGUCUACUCUUGGACAGCCUUCUGAAAGGAAGAUUAAUACAAGAUGGCAUCAUGAGUCCGCAUGUUCACAUGAUUAAAGGUAUUCCGGUAGACGAUGGGGAUGCGUUCCAUUAGAUAGUAGGCGGGGUAACGGCCCACCUAGUCUUCGAUGGAUAGGGGUUCUGAGAGGAAGGUCCCCCACAUUGGAACUGAGACACGGUCCAAACUCCUACGGGAGGCAGCAGUGAGGAAUAUUGGUCAAUGGGCGAGAGCCUGAACCAGCCAAGUAGCGUGAAGGAUGACUGCCCUAUGGGUUGUAAACUUCUUUUAUAAAGGAAUAAAGUCGGGUAUGCAUACCCGUUUGCAUGUACUUUAUGAAUAAGGAUCGGCUAACUCCGUGCCAGCAGCCGCGGUAAUACGGAGGAUCCGAGCGUUAUCCGGAUUUAUUGGGUUUAAAGGGAGCGUAGAUGGAUGUUUAAGUCAGUUGUGAAAGUUUGCGGCUCAACCGUAAAAUUGCAGUUGAUACUGGAUAUCUUGAGUGCAGUUGAGGCAGGCGGAAUUCGUGGUGUAGCGGUGAAAUGCUUAGAUAUCACGAAGAACUCCGAUUGCGAAGGCAGCCUGCUAAGCUGCAACUGACAUUGAGGCUCGAAAGUGUGGGUAUCAAACAGGAUUAGAUACCCUGGUAGUCCACACGGUAAACGAUGAAUACUCGCUGUUUGCGAUAUACGGCAAGCGGCCAAGCGAAAGCGUUAAGUAUUCCACCUGGGGAGUACGCCGGCAACGGUGAAACUCAAAGGAAUUGACGGGGGCCCGCACAAGCGGAGGAACAUGUGGUUUAAUUCGAUGAUACGCGAGGAACCUUACCCGGGCUUAAAUUGCAGAUGAAUUACGGUGAAAGCCGUAAGCCGCAAGGCAUCUGUGAAGGUGCUGCAUGGUUGUCGUCAGCUCGUGCCGUGAGGUGUCGGCUUAAGUGCCAUAACGAGCGCAACCCUUGUUGUCAGUUACUAACAGGUUCCGCUGAGGACUCUGACAAGACUGCCAUCGUAAGAUGUGAGGAAGGUGGGGAUGACGUCAAAUCAGCACGGCCCUUACGUCCGGGGCUACACACGUGUUACAAUGGGGGGUACAGAGGGCCGCUACCACGCGAGUGGAUGCCAAUCCCAAAAACCUCUCUCAGUUCGGACUGGAGUCUGCAACCCGACUCCACGAAGCUGGAUUCGCUGGUAAUCGCGCAUCAGCCACGGCGCGGUGAAUACGUUCCCGGGCCUUGUACACACCGCCCGUCAAGCCAUGGGAGCCGGGGGUACCUGAAGUGCGUAACCGCGAGGAGCGCCCUAGGGUAAAACUGGUGACUGGGGC